UUGAAACACUUGUUCCCAUAUGAUCACUGUAGUUAAGGAAAGUCGAGCCUGGUCAGUGUUUAGAUGGGUGACCGCUUGGGAAUACUAGGUUCUGUA